AAUAAAAAUUUAAAAAAAUGCUUUUGUGAUUUUAAACUGUUCUAAAAAAAUAAAAUUAAUACAAUUUCUGGUUUUAAUUUUACUAGUUACAAAACAGAUUGGAUCUAAUUAUAUAAUUUCAAAUUUAUAAAUGGAGUAUUAAAUAAAGCAGUGAAAUAUGUAAAGUAUUUUAUCAACCUACACAGCAUUUAUAAAUAAAACUAUACUGAAGAAAUAAUAAUGCAGUUUAAAUUGAAAGAAAUGAUGAAAUAUUAAAGAAAAUUAACUAUUAUGUUUUAGCUGUAAUAAUAAUAAUCUACCUAAUGAAAAACUUUAUUUUCUUUAUAAAUAAGAAAUUAUCUCUUGUGAUUUUUCAAAAGUUAAACCAUAAUUUUAUAAUUUACAGAUUGAAAGAAAUCACUACCAGUUUGAUUGUAAAUAAUUUUAAAAUGUGUUCUGAUCAAUUUAAGAUUUAUAAUAUCAAGACAUAAGAUGACAUGCUAAUACAAUUUUUACAAAGGAAAGCCAUUUUGACAAGCAGGAACAACAGAUAAAUUUGCAGUAGUUCAGAAUGAGGGAGUGCAGUUUAUUCUUUUUAUUGUAGUAUUAAUAAUUAAUCAGAUUCAUCAUACAAAUUAAAUCUAGAUGAUCCAACACUAACUGUUUUUUACUCCACAUUUUCAGAAGCAAGGUUGGUUUUGUUGCUACAAUGCUUGCAUAUAUGUAACAUUCACCAGGUUUGAAGUAACUAUACCAAGCAAUAACUGUCCUUGUCAGGAUUUGUAGCCAUUUGCAUAUUUUUGCAGUUUCUUACAAACACUAGAAGUUUUCAGCACUGAAGAUGCGAUUCGAUAGCUUAGAAACUAUAUCUGGAUGAAAACUUUCUUGCAGUAUUUCAGUAAGUAACAACUUCAUUUGCUGUACUGUCAAUAAGAGAUCCUUCCACUGACAAACGAUUGUUUUAUCAUCUCAAGCAUAGUGUUGCUAAUCUAAUUUCUUUAUUAGUACAUAUGCAUGUUACUUGUUUUAAGUCUUAACCUGUUGAGGAGUUGGUUUUUCUUUUUAAUAUUUCAGUCGGUGAAAAUAUAUGUAUUAGUUAUUUCUUUUUACUGCAAUUUUUGUUUGAUCUGAUUCUGCCAUUCAAAGGGAAAGAUUUCGAUGGAAAUGCCAAUUGUCACAAUGUUUUGGAAGAUGACAAGGAUUUAAUAGGAAAAAGUUAUCUAUUUACUUUAUUUUUAAAUAAAAUAGAUCAACUCUGCAAAUCUUUCAUUCUUUUAACAGAGAGAUUCAAUGGAAAUUUUUUUGGGCUGGAGAACAACUCUGGAAAGUAAGCCAAUAAUAACAUUUCUUUAGAAAGCUAGUUUUUUGGAAUUUUCAUGUAGAGAAUAACUUGUGAAAUUGUACAGAUUGAUGCGUGAGUUUCAAUACUGAUGUAAUCAUUUAAAUAUCUGUGAAAAUACUAUUUGAAUUUUACUACUGUUUAUUAAGUUGUGAUUUCGGCAGUAAAUAUUAUGUUGCUUUUUCUUUUCUAUUGAUUUUGUUACAGAGAAAAUGAGUUUGCAGGGUGGGAAGCAAUGAAGUGUAAGUACUAACCAAAUUUGUUUUGCUAGUUGAUGUUGAGUUCAUUAAUUUUUAUUAUUAGUUUAUUGCAAGAAACAUUUUAAAAAAGAUUAAAUUGAGGUGUAAUGAAUGUAAAUUGUUUUGCUUUUAUGCUUAAUGGUAACCAUUGCUUGGUUUCCUACCAGAUGGGACACUUAUUUGCAGAUUAUUCUUUGUCACUAAGAUUCUUCUACACCAGCUGUUUCAAUUGUUGUUCGUUGAAAGUGGACUAGAGAAGAAAAGACAAUGUAAGGCUUUUUAUUAAAGCGAAACAUUUGUAAGCUUGACGUUUAAAUAGUUUAAAAUAACUGAAUUUUUUUUAAAAACUUGUAAUGAAACUGCUUAAUUUUGUCAGUUUGGAAAAUUGUAUGUGCACAUGUAAUGCUGAUGUGUGGAGAUAAUUUCAUAUUUUGCAGCUUACCCAUUGAAUAAAUUUUUAUUUCAUUGUUAUCUGAUAUAUGCAGUAUCAUUUAGAUGGCAUUUGUAUUUUUAUUACAUGCAUGAUUGCUUAAAAGCAUGGAAGCACAUAUGGAAUUUAAAAUUUCCCUGCAAGUAAAGUAAUUUGACAAUUUCAUGUGAGCAAUGAUGUGCAACAAGUGUAAAUAUAGAGGAAUUGUUACUUGCAAUGAUUUAUUGAAUAAAUAUUUGACAAUGUUUUUGAUAUUCUAAAAAUAAAUAUAUUUUUUUAACAGAAGAGACUGACUUAUUUAAUUUGUGCAUUUUCAAAUUGAAAGAUAAUUAUGUGAUAUGAAUUUUCUUUAAUGUUUAUUUCUAAGAUGCUUGUUGGCACUUGCUGCUAUAAAAUGUAACUUUUAAAUUGUAAUUUUCAGUAUAUUCUAUGAAUGUAGGUUUGAUGAAGUGAUUUGUGCAGAAUGUAAGUUUUAUAUUUGGGUUUAUUGGAAAUGUAUUGGGCAAAUCAUGGUGAUCUGAAGGCGAGUGUGUGAAUAUUUGGCAGAUGGAGUUGCAGAUACGGCAUGUGUUAUUUAUGACAAAAUGAGGAUGUAAAGAGCAGGGAGUAUAAGAAACUCUGAAAAGAAUUUUUGCAUUAUGUACUUGUAUGUUUAUUAAGUCAUUUACUCUUUGCCUAGAUAUAUUCGACAGCAAAUUGGCAUAUGCAGUUGCUUCGAUAUCUUAAUUUGAAUUUUAAUUUACCAGAAUGCAUUAAUUUUCUGUAUCAGUGGCACAGAAGAACACACAGUGCAAAGUGAUUUCAGGGAGUAAAAAUUUAAUUAUUAUUGAUGAAUUAGAUUGAUUGUAUGAAUUUGCUUGAUAUUUUGCAAUGAAUUGCAGGUUAUGCAAGAAAUAUAAAAAAAAAGUAGAAAAAGUUGUUUUAGUUUGUUAGGUGGAUAAUAAUAAUGUUUAAAGUUUGAAGAUUACAGGGUCGGUAUGAAGCAUUUAUUUAUUUAGGGAGAAGAUUUUAUAUGGCAAAGAUUGUUGAGCAACAAAAGUAAACAGUUUUCUUUUCAUAGAUUUUCAUGAAUAACAUGCAUGUUAAAUAACUUCUUAUAAUCAUUUAUGUAUAAGUUUUGUAAAUUUAUUUCAAAAUUUCUGCUUGUUAAUUUUUUAUAUUUUUUUUAAAAUUCAAUAAUAAUAAAAUGUGUAAUUAUUUAUAUUCACAGCAUUUAAUUUUCUUGAUUAGUUAUCAUCUAAAUCUUUUGGGAUGGGUUAUCUAUAACUUAUUGCAAUUGUUUUGAUUUUUGGACUUUAACAGAAUAGACCUUUUUUCCCUACAGAAAUGACUAAUUUUGAUUUUAAAGUUUUUAGUCAAUAAAUUGAUACUCAUGUACAGGUAAGUUUAUUUUGCACUUGUGAAAAAGGAUGUAUUAUUAUUAUUUAUACAAUUUUGUUUUAUUAAUAUAAAUUUCAAGUUGUGCAUUUUAAGCUGCUGCUGAUAUUUCUUUUUAUAAUUGCUUAAAUUAAUUAAAAAAAAGGCAUAACUAUUUUUUAAAAUAUAUUUAUAAGUUCUUGUAUACACUAUAAUGCAGUCACUUUAAGGCUAAUAAUGAAUAAUUCUACAUUAAUUGAAUCUACUAGUGCAUAUUAUUGAUAUAAGCUGUACUUUAGUGAAUCUUUAAUAAGCAAGGUAUUACAGUAUCUUGGAGAUAUAACCAUCAUCCAGAUUCUGCUGAUAUCAAUUUUCUAUCUUAAAGUUAUUAUUCACUAGUGUCUUCUGUAUAAAAGAAUGCAAGAUAAUUUUAUAAGAUACAAGAGUAUCUUGUGCUAAUCAAAUAUCAACAAAUUUAUAUAAUACUUCAUGCAAAAUAUUAUUGAUUUUUAUAAAGCUGAAACAAAUCUCAAUAACAACUAUUUAAAAUUUUUAUAGUACAUGAACAAUCAUGCUAUGAAAGGAAGAACAAAAUUGUUCUAGUUAAUGAUCUAUUGCAGACAUCUUUGCCAAGCAAGAUUCGUCAUACUGCAUUUUAAAGACAACUUAAGAUGUUUUGAUGUCUAGGUUGAGCACAAGUUGAAUUGGCAACAUUUGAAUAAAGCAAGCAAAGAGAAAAUGCGAUGAGAAUAGCAAAAAGUGUACAGUUUAACAAGAAUCUUUCAUGUUUUUAGAAUAAAACAGUAAUUUUUUUUGUUUGGUGAUCUGAAUUAAUAUAUUAAUUACUUCAUAUUUUAGGACAAAAAGCAAUAACAGAAUUAUUUGGCACAAAGUAGCCAUUUGUGUAUUGUUGCAGCUUUACCUAUACUAGAGAUUUUAAUGUUGAAUUUAUUCCUUCAUGUCAAUGACAUUGUUUUGUUGCUGAAUAUUUUAAAAUUUACUAUAUAUCAGAUAAAUGAAAUAAUUACAAUAUUUAAAUAGGAAUAUUAAUUGCUUGUUACCAGAACUUAGGAAAAAAAAAACAAGUCAAUAUUGAAAACCACCAGCAAAAAAUAAAAUUUGGAAUUUGUUCUACAAUUUAAAUUGUGUGUUAAAUCUGCAUGUUUUGAGUUUUGAAAAUACUACUAUUUAAUCAAUGAAAUUAUUUGCAGAAUUGUGUGUAUCUGAAACAUGAUGUCUGAAGUCUUGUGCAUUUGCUUGUUUUAGUAUGAAAGUUUUUUUCUCAUUUUGAUGUAUGUAUGGAAAAACUUUUUAAUGAAUUCAUUAUUGCUUUAUAAAGCAUCUUACUACUAACAUUAUGAAACAGUUCAGUUAUAAUAAGUUUUUUUAGUCAUAUAGCAGAUUUAUCUGUACUGAAAUAGUGUCCACUGAUCAUUUUGUGAUAACUUUUAAUAUAUCUGUUGUAUUGUAUUGACAGAUUUUUCAAUUGCUUGUGAUAUUUCAGAGCAAGUAUCUAGAAGUUGAGUUCUAUUGGAUUUACUAUCUUAAACAUCAUAUACAAAGUAGUUAGGACCACGAAUAUAUUUUGCGUAGUCUAGACUGCAAGAAACUUUUGAUAAAAAUUUAAUUUCUAAUUUUUAACUCUAAAUUAACUUUUAAAUAUUCAAUAUCUUAUCCUGCUGGUGCUACAGAUUGUUCUCUAGUAUAACAAAUAUUCAAUCUAUAAAAAAAAAAGAUAUCAUUAUUUCAUUUUUAUUAUAAUUUUUGCAUUUUUUGCAACAAUUUAGAUCUAGAUUUCAGAAGAUUUUGGAAAUUGCAGCUCACCAAAGCAUUGAAAACUAGAUUGAUUAUAUUCAUUACAUCAGUUCAGUUUGAUUGGGUUUAAUUUAUUAUACAUUUAAAUGUUGUCUGAAUGUUUAUAGUUGACAAAAUUGAGAAACUAUACAGAUAGAGAAGAAAUCUUUUCAAUGGCUGAAGAAUUAUAAGGACAAACAAUAGGGAGUAUAACAGAACAUUAAACUUUUUAGUAUUAAAAUUUAUUCUACAUAUGCUCCAAAACUGUUUAAUCUUUUAGAUUGUCAAGUUUCGUCAACGAAGAUCAAAGUAAAAACAUUCAAAUAUGACCUAAAGCAUCUUUCAAUUUGCUAAGUUUUGCAUUAACCAAUAAUGAAGAGUAUAUUUCUAUAAAUGAAUUUCAGGGAGUAAAAGUUUAUGGAUUUAUUAUUUUUAAAUGUUUUCAGUUAGAAGAAAAACAAAAUUAAUAAUUCUUAACUGUAUUAAGUUAAUAACAAAUUAGAAAUAUAACUAAAUUUUGAGAGGUAUUGAAUAUCCAUUUUUAUAGCAAGGUAAUGUAUUUUCAUUAAAAUUUCCUAACUUUGUAGUUUAGAUUUGUUAAUUAGGUUUAUAAUUUGUUAUAGUCAAAUAUUACUUAAAAUGGAUCUACGGAGAGGGAGUUGCUUAAAAUAGAUUUAAAAUGUUUAAAAAAAGUAAUUAUCUUCAUCUAAGUGUUACUUAAAUGUUAACAAUUGUAGAAAGCUUAAUUUUAUUAUGUCAGUACUGUUAUAAAUCAUUAAUUUCUAAGAUUAUGUAAAUGGGGAUUAAGUUUUUUAACCCUCUCUGCCCAUUGGGCACUAAGAGGGAUUUUUUUUAACAACCCCAUUAAGUCUCUCAGGGUUUAGUCAGUCUCACAAUAGGGCAGCUGGAUAGUGAGGGAUGAUAACAUAUCUGUACGGCCAUCCUGAAAAAUUCCCGAGGUUUUUGACUCUUCCGAAUUUGAUCCUGGAUUCCCUAGAUUGGUAGGCUGUCACCUUAGCCACUUGGCCAUCUGGACUCAGAGACAAUCAUUUUAGCAAAGUCAGGGACUAUAAAUGUCACCUUCUCCCAGUAACGGAACAAGAAAAUUCAUAAAAAUUCACUAAAACAGUAGGCAUAACAAUUCUAUUGACAAAUAAUAGAGGCAUCUGGAAAAUGAUUUCAGAGUAAUGAAGCUUGGAUAAAUGAUGGAAAGUUUCUCCAAUGAAAUCUGGAGUUGUGCUUAUUGGAUCUCUUGCUGAUUUUACUAAAUUUAUAAAUACAAUAAAAAAAAAACAGUGAAAAUGGAAAUAGAAGAUGCAGUUGAAUGAUUGUCCUAGAAGACUUAAUAAAAAGAAAUUUUGAAAAAAAAGAUCUAUCAUGUAGUUUCACUACAGAUUAUAUAAGCGACCCGUUUUUAAUAUGGCCCAAAAAGGUAGAACUCCAUCAAUUCACAAUCCAGAAAUGUUAACGUAAAUAAAUACUGGAAUAUUCUGUAUUCAUCUACGAUGGAUUGAACUGGGAGUCAAAACUUUGAGUGCUGAAUAGUUGGAGAAUUUUUGCCACGAGAAUGCGGGACCAUAAAAGGAAAAUAUACAAAGAACACGCCAAGAAGUAAACUACACCGAAACUUACCGAAUCCCCAGCGGCGGUGCUCGGACUUUUUCCGCAAUACUUUUUUCUAACAAACUAUUUAAGCACAUUUGUCAAUUUUAAGAGAUUUAUCACAAAUACAUUAUUAAAUGUUUUGUAAUGUUUCAAUUAUUAAUGUAUAUUGUGAAAGAAAAGAAACAAAGAAUACUUCAUGCUGUUUUAAGUUUUGGAGUUUUUGCAAGAAAUUUUGUUUUAAAAUUAUUUUGCAUAUUUGAUUGUGAAAUUCAAAGUAUUCUAAUUGCAUCAAAUUUGAAAAUUGUAAUUAUUAAAAAUAAUAAUAGAAAUUGAAUUGUACAAUGUGAUGUAUAUUUGUCAAACAAAAAUUUUGUAAGUAACUUUUCUAUUCAUAUCUUAAUUAAAAUUUUUAAAAGUU